AAUGGAUUGAGAGCUUGCUCUCAAGAAGUUAGCGGCGGACGGGUGAGUAACACGUGGGUAACCUGCCCAUAAGACUGGGAUAACUCCGGGAAACCGGGGCUAAUACCGGAUAACAUUUUGAACUGCAUGGUUCGAAAUUGAAAGGCGGCUUCGGCUGUCACUUAUGGAUGGACCCGCGUCGCAUUAGCUAGUUGGUGAGGUAACGGCUCACCAAGGCAACGAUGCGUAGCCGACCUGAGAGGGUGAUCGGCCACACUGGGACUGAGACACGGCCCAG
rnacentral:rRNA from 1 species